CCACGGCUGUUGCGUGUAAAGAUCUGAAAUUGUAGGACAAAUUUUAUGUCUGUGUUCAUCAGUAUUAUUCAUUUUUGUGUACAUACCGUAAAUUGCGGUACAGAUUUACAGCUAGAUUCUAAAGGGUUCUGACCGGUUGUGACAGUACUGUAUCAACACUGAAAAUUGCUGGGUUACCGACUCGUCGAUCAUUUGCUUUCCAAAAACUAGAGAUCACAGCAUUUCUGAAAAUGGAUCUGUUUACGUCCUCAGGAGUAGUGGGAAACACCUAAUCUGUCGGGUCCGUCAGGUAUGAGUUAAGCUGAGAGCCAAUGCAUGUAGACUUCCAGCGUUGCUUCAUGUACAGGCUUCUCUGCUCCACAACCAGUCAAAUGGCAAGGUGGAGACCAGCCGCCAACUUAAAGACUGAGGAAAUGACAGCUUGCUGCUUGAUCAGGGUUAUUGCCUACAUGAGGGGUUGGUGACAGAUGUAUCUGGAGCAAUGGCAGAAUGAUUAUUAGCUGAGAUAAGGUGGGGUGUUUCUGACUAAAACCUUCUUCAGUGUGCCACUUUGCCCAAUAUGAAUUUCACAUGAAGUCAGCUGAAAUUAAAGCCAAGCCUUUGCAAUGAGAAUGCAGCAUCUAAGUGCCUGAGACAUACCAAAUUGCUUAGCAGUGUGUCAAUGCAGAAGGAGAAGAGUUUCAGAGGACAAACAGCAAUAGUGUGUGGUUUAGUUGUUGACUGCUUCUACAACACAGCAAGCAAGUCGACCUCCGGCAUUCCCAGUCUUGAGAGAUUCUUCGUUGCCACCUUU